rnacentral:rRNA from 1 species
AGGGAGUUUGAUCCUGGCUCAGGAUAAACGCUGGCGGCGCACAUAAGACAUGCAAGUCGAACGGAAGCCGUUAUAAAAGAAGUGGAAAGACGAUUUAUCUGAUUGAAACGGAAAUUAUAACAAUGACUUUAGUGGCGGACUGGUGAGUAACGCGUGAGCAACCUGCCUAUUAGAGGGGAAUAACAGUGAGAAAUCAUUGCUAAUACCGCAUAAGCUUGUAGAAUCACAUGAUACAGCAAGAAAAGGAGAAAUCCGCUAAUAGAUGGGCUCGCGUCUGAUUAGCUAGUUGGUGUGGUAACGGCAUACCAAGGCAACGAUCAGUAGCCGAGCUGAGAGGCUCUACGGCCACAUUGGGACUGAGAUACGGCCCAGACUCCUACGGGAGGCAGCAGUCGGGAAUAUUGCGCAAUGGAGGAAACUCUGACCCAGCAACGCCGCGUAUAGGAAGAAGGUUUUAGGAUUGUAAACUAUUUUAGACAGGGAAGAGAAAGGACUGUACCUGUAGAAUAAGCUCCGGCUAACUACGUGCCAGCAGCCGCGGUAAUACGUAGGGAGCAAGCGUUAUCCGGAAUUAUUGGGUGUAAAGGGUGCGUAGACGGGAACUUAAGUUGGUUGUGAAAUCCCUUGGCUUAACUGAGGAACUGCAACCAAAACUGGGAUUCUUGAGUGCUGGAGAGGAAAGUGGAAUUCCUAGUGUAGCGGUGAAAUGCGUAGAUAUUAGGAGGAACACCAGUGGCGAAGGCGGCUUUCUGGACAGUAACUGACGUUGAGGCACGAAAGUGUGGGGAGCAAACAGGAUUAGAUACCCUGGUAGUCCCU